rnacentral:rRNA from 1 species
AAAUUGAAGAGUUUGAUCAUGGCUCAGAUUGAACGCUGGCGGCAGGCCUAACACAUGCAAGUCGAACGGUAACAGGAAGCAGCUUGCUGCUUUGCUGACGAGUGGCGGACGGGUGAGUAAUGUCUGGGAAACUGCCUGGUGGAGGGGGAUAACUACUGGAAAC